GUUCCCAGUCCUCUACCAACAUAUCAUUGAGAUAUUUAACUCCUUCAACCAGUCUUCAGGUUGCAAGUAGAGACCAUGAUUACCUUCAACAACCUAUAACAGAGCAUCUUGUUGACAAAGCAGUUGCUGUCUCUCCAAAAGAUGCCAAGGACAUAGAGAAAUCUACAAGGAUGCAAGCCAAGAGUAAAACCUGG